GAUCUUGGCUCAGGAUGAACGCUGGCGGCGUGCCUAAUACAUGCAAGUAGAACGCUGAAGCUUGGUGCUUGCACCGAGCGGAUGAGUUGCGAACGGGUGAGUAACGCGUAGGUAACCUACCUCUUAGCGGGGGAUAACUAUUGGAAACGAUAGCUAAUACCGCAUAAAAGUCGGCAUUGCAUGAUGUUGACUUGAAAGGUGCAACUGCAUCACUAAGAGAUGG
rnacentral:rRNA from 1 species